AAUGAGACUGCCGGUGACAAACCGGAGGAAGGUGGGGAUGACGUCAAGUCCUCAUGGCCCUUAUAGGUGGGGCUACACACGUCAUACAAUGGAUGGUACAAAGGGUCGCCAACCCGCGAGGGGGAGCCAAUCCCAUAAAGCCAUUCGUAGUCCGGAUCGCAGUCUGCAACUCGACUGCGUGAAGUCGGAAUCGCUAGUAAUCGUGGAUCAGAAUGUCACGGUGAAUACGUUCCCGGGUCUU
rnacentral:rRNA from 1 species